rnacentral:rRNA from 1 species
GCGAGCGUUGUCCGGAAUUACUGGGCGUAAAGGGUGCGUAGGCGGCCCUUUAAGUCAGUGUGAAAGCCCGCAGCUUAACUGCGGAAUUGCAUUUGAAACUGGAGGGCUUGAGUGUCGGAGAGGGUAGUGGAAUUCCCAGUGUAGCGGUGAAAUGCGUAGAUAUUGGGAGGAACACCAGUGGCGAAGGCGACUGCCUGGACGAUAACUGACGCUGAGGCACGAAAGCUAGGGGAGCAAACAGGAUUAGAUACCCUGGUAGUCCUAGCCGUAAACGAUGGGUACUAGGUGUAGGUGGUUUCGAUNCCAUCUGUGCCGUAGUUAACGC